GACGAACGCUGGCGGCGUGCUUAACACAUGCAAGUCGAACGGAAAGGCCCUGCUUUUGUGGGGUGCUCGAGUGGCGAACGGGUGAGUAACACGUGAGUAACCUGCCCUUGACUUUGGGAUAACUUCAGGAAACUGGGGCUAAUACCGGAUAGGAGCUCCUGCUGCAUGGUGGGGGUUGGAAAGUUUCGGCGGUUGGGGAUGGACUCGCGGCUUAUCAGCUUGUUGGUGGGGUAGUGGCUUACCAAGGCUUUGAUGGGUAGCCGGCCUGAGAGGGUGACCGGCCACAUUGGGACUGAGAUACGGCCCAGACUCCUCCGGGAGGCAGCAGUGGGGAAUAUUGCACAAUGGGCGGAAGCCUGAUGCAGCAACGCCGCGUGCGGGAUGACGGCCUUCGGGUUGUAAACCGCUUUCGCCUGUGACGAAGCGUGAGUGACGGUAAUGGGUAAAGAAGCACCGGCUAACUACGUG
rnacentral:rRNA from 1 species